AAAGGAAGUUGACGGGGAGCACCACAACGGGUGGAGCUUGCGGUUUUAAUUGGAUUCAACGCCGGAAAUCUUACCGGGACCGACAGCAAUAUGAAGGCCAGGCUGAAGACUUUGCCGGAUUAGCUGAGAGGUGGUGCAUGGCCGUCGUCAGUUCGUACUGUGAAGCAUCCUGUUAAGUCAGGCAACGAGCGAGACCCACGCCCACAGUUGCCAGCGUACUCUCUGGAGUGACGGGUACACUGUGGGACCGCCGCUGCUAAAGCGGAGGAAGGAAUGGGCAACGGUAGGUCAGUAUGCCCCGAAUAUCCCGGGCUACACGCGAGCUACAAUGGUUGGUACAAUGGGUAUCUACCCCGAAAGGGGACGGGAAUCUCCUAAAACCAAUCUUAGUUCGGAUUGAGGGCUGCAACUCGCCCUCAUGAAGCUGGAAUCCGUAGUAAUCGCGUUUCAACAGAACGCGGUGAAUACGUCCCUGCUCCUU
rnacentral:rRNA from 1 species